rnacentral:lncRNA from 1 species
UAUGAUCGGUAUUGAGUUUAGUUUAAUUUCAUUAAUAACCCAAUUAGGCCAAAAAUAAAAUUAAUUUUUAAGACUUAUUCAAACUAGUUUGGGUUUUCAAUUUUUUAAAAUUAGAUUAGGUCCAGAUUUUUGGAAAUUCACCCUAAACUUGAUCUAUUGUAGCUAGAAAACGUUGAGUUGCUCCUUUGUUGGUAGAUUGGAAUUGUGAAUCUAAGCAACAUCGUUCUAGCGAACAUUUUGACACUGUAAGUAAAUUUGCACCUUAAAUCCCUGAAUUUUUAUCAAAAUAUUUGCAUAAUUUAUAACUUAAUAUUUUAGUUAAUUUUAAUAUUGAUAUGGCAAUAUUACAGUCACAAGACACUACAAAUAA